CCUACGGGAGGCAGCAGUGAGGAAUAUUGGUCAAUGGGCUUACGCCUGAACCAGCCAUGUCGCGUGAGGGAAGACUGCCCUCUGGGUUGUAAACCUCUUUUGUCAGGGAGCAAUUGGCGCUACGUGUAGCGUUAUCGAGAGUACCUGCAGAAAAAGCAUCGGCUAACUCCGUGCCAGCAGCCGCGGUAAUCCGGAGGAUGCGAGCGUUAUCGGGAUUUAUUGGGUUUAAGGGGUGCGUAGGCGGAAUGCCAAGUCAGCGGUAAACUCGCGGGGCUAAACCUCGCAUCGCCGUUGAAACUGGCGUGCUUGAGUGGGCGAGAAGUAUGCGGAAUGCGUGGUGUAGCGGUGAAAUGCAUAGAUAUCACGAAGAACUCCGAUUGCGAAGGCAGCAUACCGGCGCCCAACUGACGCUGAAGCACGAAAGCGUGGGUAUCGAACAGGAUUAGAUACCCUUGUAGUC
rnacentral:rRNA from 1 species